GUGAGGAAUAUUGGACAAUGGCCGAGAGGCUGAUCCAGCCAUGCCGCGUGCGGGAAGACGGCCCUAUGGGUUGUAAACCGCUUUUGUUGGGGAGCAAUAAGGUCCACGUGUGGAUCGAUGAGAGUACCCAGCGAAUAAGCAUCGGCUAACUCCGUGCCAGCAGCCGCGGUAAUACGGAGGAUGCAAGCGUUAUCCGGAUUUAUUGGGUUUAAAGGGUGCGUAGGCGGAUUUUUAAGCGUGAGGUGAAAUGCCCGGGCUCAACCUGGGAACUGCCUCGCGAACUGGAAGUCUGGAAUGUCCGUGCCGUGGGAGGAAUGUGUGGUGUAGCGGUGAAAUGCAUAGAGAUCACACAGAACACCGAUUGCGAAGGCAUCUCACGAACGGAUGAUUGACGCUGAGGCACGAAAGCGUGGGGAUCAAACAGG
rnacentral:rRNA from 1 species